rnacentral:misc_RNA from 1 species
CUAAGUUCAGCGGGUAUCCCUACCUGAUCCGAGGUCAAAGACGGUAAAUUGCUUGCUGGACGCGGGCCGCAGCUCCUCGAGAAGCGCAAUGUGCUGCGCGAGAGGAGGCGGAGACCGCUGCCAAUGAAUUUGGGGCGAGUCCACGCGCAAAGGCGGGACAGACGCCCAACACCAAGCAGAGCUUGAGGGUGUAGAUGACG